CAUUCGAUAAAUGGAGUGCCUUUGGGGGCCGGGCACUGUGCUAACCACCAGGGAAACAGAGGAACAAGGCAAAGAAAGCCCAUGCCCUCAAUGACCUAACCUUGCAGUGUGCGGAGACCACAACAAACAAGGAAGCUGCGGAGUAAACCAGAUCAUUGCAGACUGCACUAAUGUGACAGCGAGCUGGGGGGAGAGGCUGCUGGAAUGGCCUCUUGGAGGAGGCGGCAUCCGAGCCGGCCAUGGGAAGAGGAAGAGGAUGCAAAAGUCAAGGAAAGCAACAGCAGACGUCUAGAGCAGGAAGAACUCGGCAGGCAGGAGACGCAGAGGCGUGCAGGCCAGUGGGGCCUCUCCUUGGUGGUUUUAGGGAGGAUGCCUGGUGAAACUGCCCAGGGCCUCCGCAAAUGCAUCUACAGGGACAAGAUAAUGUCACUCCCCUCACAAAACACUGAUCCUAGCAAUGGGAGAAUUGAAACAGAGAGCAAACAAAAGUGAGGGCAAAAAAAGAGACCGGAGAUUCCUUUUCUCUAAAGUAAGCCAGCAGCCCUGGCGCACGUGGGCAUUGUUGAGAUGCGAAAUCCUCCAACAAGAGUCUGGUCCCUUCCGGCCCUACCUGAGGACCCCAGGCGUCCCCACAGACACCGAGCCUGGUGGCUCUGUCUGGUUUGCUGGGCUGUCCUGAGGACCACAAAGCUGUGUUAGGAAUGGUCUGAUAUUAGCUAACAAGCUAAAGCUCUUCUCUCUGCAUGUAUCUUGAGAUGAUGCCAUCCUGGGCCCACCUGGGAAGAGAGGCAAGUCUACUUGACAAACAGCGUGGGCCUCUCGCCCCAUCGGUGAGUGGGCGACGCUGUCAACCCUCCAGAAAUCCGCCCCCGCGCCGCGACCCAGGGGCGCCCGCCUGAGGCCUGCAGCGACGCCGGCGCGCCACGAUCACGCAGCGACAAGCGCGGAAGGCACACAACUCCACCUCGCCACCUUUUUAAUGAGUAACCUAGUCCUAACAUCCACACUUAGUGACUGAAGGCUGCUGGCUGUUUAAAAGAGGAGCUCUGGGCCCCGGCUCAUUCUGGGCAAGAGACACUGUGUGGAGUAGGGAGGAAGAGGGUAGAAUGCCAUGGUUCAGGAUGAGGGUCUGAAGGCACCUUCUGCCUAGUGUCUAUCAAUCUUGGCUGAGUGAUCCCAGAAUCAAAUCUGCUCACCUGAAAGUCCCCCACAUGGAUGAUGGGAAGGAAAUUAUGCUGAGUGCUUGGCUACCACACUUCAGUUCCUGAACUAGAUUUAACAUAUGUCAUUUAAUUUCUCUCCAUAAGAAUCCAGCAGGUAAGCAAUCUCAUCCCAUUCUGCCAAUAAGGUAGAAAACAGUACAAUAUGGAAAGAUGCUGGGCCAGGUAUCAGAACAGAAUUUUGUCCUAGAACCAGCUGCCCCUGGCUGCUGGCUUCCUGAGUUGUCUCACAUAUCAAAGGUGGGUGUUGGAGAGAUCAGAGCCUGCACCUGCUGGUAGUUCUCCAAGCUGACACGAUGCCCCCAUCCCACCCUGUACUCAGUGCAUGCCAGGACAACUAAAGAGAGGGCAAGUAGCCAUGGAAACAAUGCCCUGAUGCCUGUUGUGCUUGGGAACCUCCCAAAGGGAGCAUCUUCUCACUAGCAGAAGGCUGGGGACCUUGACUUCACACAUGCACCCUUCCCACCCCUCUCUGACCACCUCUAGAACCCCACAUGUCUCCACUGGAUCUCCAAACCCAGGCAGACCUGCUUCCAAACCUGAAUGUGCAACAUUGACUCUCUGGGAUCAUUGAGGGCCUCUCUGAGUGUUCACCGCGAUCCCCAUUCUAUUUAGACACUGGCUUCGCCCAGUAGCUUCAUCAGGAGGUGGGGU